UGGGGAAUAUUGCACAAUGGGGGAAACCCUGAUGCAGCGACGCCGCGUGAACGAAGAAGGUAUUCGUAUCGUAAAGUUCUGUCCUAUGGGAAGAUAAUGACAGUACCAUAGAAGAAAGCUCCGGCUAAAUACGUGCCAGCAGCCGCGGUAAUACGUAUGGAGCGAGCGUUGUCCGGAAUUAUUGGGCGUAAAGGGUACGCAGGCGGUUUAAUAAGUCGAAUGUUAAAGAUCGGGGCUCAACCCCGCAAAGCAUUGGAAACUGAUAAACUUGAGUAGUGGAGAGGAAAGUGGAAUUCCUAGUGUAGUGGUGAAAUACGUAGAUAUUAGGAGGAAUACCAGUAGCGAAGGCGACUUUCUGACACGAACUGACGCUGAGGUACGAAAGCGUGGGGAGCAAACAGG
rnacentral:rRNA from 1 species